rnacentral:lncRNA from 1 species
AGGAGUUCUACCAAGGGCGGGGAAGCGAGGCCCUGGGAACCACUGUCCAGCCAGGCUCCCUGAGCCUCUGGCUCCUGUAAGCCAGAUCUCCAGGCCCAGGCAGGGUCUGAGGGCUGUGGGGUGCAGGACCAGCCCUCCCCUCAGGCUUGUUUCUGAGCUGCCCCACAGUGUGGUGUCGGGUCACAGUACCUGACACACCAGCCCCUGGAAAACAGAGAAGAUGCUGACUUCUUAAUGGGACUCAGUGGAAACUUGCAGUGUGACCCCUCCGUCUUUCCAAGUUGCAUCCCAUGUCAGAGGCCAGCACUUAGCCCACCGCAGUGAGCACCUGGAGCCACACAGUGGCCGGGCUUGAGAGGCAGGGAAGGCUGGGGUUCUGGGGAUGCGGCCCCAGGAAGCAGGCCACACUCACGGUGCCCCUGGGAGCUGUAAGCGGGUGACCGCAUGGCCCUUCCUCUCUCUCCCUCCCUCUGUGCAAUACCUCUCCCUUUUCUGACAGCGUACUUACUUAUGCUCUGACUCCGACACCCAGUUGUCCCAUUUGUGAAGGAGGGAGGCGGGAGCAGGUUGGUAGUGACCUUUGCGAUUGUUCACAAAGACACAACCUGGACCGAUGCCAGGGUGAGCAUGUCCACCCCUGCAGGCUGCCCGUGCCUUGGCCCGCUCCUGGGAGCCAUUCUGGAAGGUGGUUCCUGAGUCGUGGGCAAAGAACGCCCAGUGCAGAGUGACGCCCUUCCCCACUGCUGUGUGACCGGGCCUGGCCCAGAGCAGAGCUGCCGUGUGAGCCUGGCAUCACCUCACCACGCUGGCCCAGCGGGCAAGGUACUGGCCCGGAUUCAGUCUGCGGUCACAGUCAAGAACUGGAGUAACCGCGAGGGCGCCAGCUGGGCAGGGUGCUGCACCCCCCUUAAUCCUGGGACUCUGGGAGGCUGAGGCAGGAGGGUCAGAGGUUUGAGCCACGCUGGGCAGCUCAGUGAGACCCUGUGUCUAAAGAAAAGUUAAAAAGGGCUGGGGCUGGAGCUCAGGGCAAAGGCUCUGGGUUCAAAUCCCAUAGGGGCUGGGCUGGGCUGGGACUGGGACAAAGAGGUCUCUGGAUGGGUGAGCGGGCGCCUGGCGACAGCAGGGCUCACCAGGCCUGGUGCGGUGGGACCUGCUAGCUACAAGCAAGGCUGUGCGUGGGUCACUGUAAUACGGUGUCUUCACCUCUUCCCGGAGAGGCCCUACAGGGGAAAACCUGGGGCCAAAGGAAUUUCGUUCUUUUCUCUUUUUUGGUACCGGGAUGGAACUCAGGACCUUGCACUUUCGAGGCAGGCGGUGGAACCACUGAGCUACAUUCCCAGCUCAGGAAUUUGUCUUCCUUUCUGAGGCGUCUCCACACUGAUCUCUGCAGUGUUGUACCUGCGUACUCCCCCACCCGUGGGGAAGGCCCCUCGCCAGCGCCUUGUUACUGCUGGGUUUCUUGAAGAUGGCCCUGCCCUCUGGGGAUGGUGGGACUGCGGUGCUGCCUUUAAUUUAAUCCCUUAUUCUCAGCGUUGCUGUUUACUCCCUUCAAGUCCUGAACUCACACAGGUAGUUUCAAAGUUGCCAACCCUUUGUGCCAUGAAAAAGAAAACCUACUGGAGUUGAAGCUCAGCACUUUUCCUUUUGGGGAGAGGUGGGCAGGCAGGGAGAGGCGGGGCUGAGUGAGUCUGUGGCACAGAUGCCCACACCGCCCACCGGGCCUCCGCUCUUCGGCCCUGCCACGGGAAGCCCUGCGUCUGCGCUUUCCAGCCCUCCCUGCUGUCGGGGCUCAGCCAGGGAGGCUGUUGGCAGCCCCUUUAUCAGGAGGUGGGAAUGCCUGGGGCCCAGGCAAUGGGACAUCAAAUGUCCUUGACGGAGAAAGGGUAAUUUCAUCCAGGUUCCUCAAACACUCGGAAUGGAGCCAGCGUGUGGCACGCUGCAGUUGGCUUCUGGGUGCUCACAUCCAAGGCUGCGGAGCUGGUGUGGCAAGGAGACACCUACACGCCACGUCCACCACAGCUGAGGAAAAACAGUGCACCCAGGCAUGCCCCACCAAUGAGCGUGUGAAGGGACAGUGGACGCGCAUGGCAGCAUGCCGUGAGCCUCACAGAAGAGGGAAACAUGUCCUUUCUGACACACAGGUGAAUCUGGGCGAUGUUAAGUAAGACACACCAAGCAACAACAACAAUACCUGUGUGUGUGCGGUGCUGGGGACUGGACCCAGGACCUUCACACUGAGCUACAUCCCCACCUUUUCAUUUUCUGUUUUGAGACAGGGUCUCGCUAACUUGCUCAGUUGCCCAAGCUGGGCUCAAACUUGCCAUCCUCCUGCCUCUGCCUCCCAGUGCUGGGAUGACAGGCGUGCACCACCACACUUAGUUCCUGCUCUAACUUUUCAACAAAAUCCAUUACACUGUAGGAAAAGGUAAAAGAAAACUACGCGAUGGCUUUCUGGAUCUUUGUGUUCUAAACGCUGCCCUAACUUCUUGGAGAAGGCUUGUCGGUCAGUCGGGACUCAAGAAAGCCCUGGGCCUCCCAGGAGGCGCCGCCCCUCCUCGGCCCCAUGCACUGGCCUUGGGGAACCCUUCGGGUUGCCCAGACGCGAGGAUGGGGCUCCUCCUCCUCCACAGGCCCAGCACUGCCUCUGCUGAGGGUAGAUUUUGUUGGAUUCAUAUGCUUGUAGAAAGCAUAGAGAUACAAGUUUAGAAGGAGAAGCAGUCACAGUGGGAACAAGGAGAAGCGAGGAGAGAGGCCGCUUCCCUUGCUGGAGCCGGAGCUCGAGGGCCUUGGUUCCCAGCGCCUCUCCCGAGAGUUACACCUGCAUCAGCUGCUCCUAGGCUCAGACCCUGCCUUGGCCGUGGACCCUCCCUGCCCUUGCACUCUCCCCUCUCUCCGUGAGAUUUGUGACGGGGCCUCAGGCUGACGGCCAAGUUAGCAAGUAUUAAGAGGUACGUGCGCAUGUCAGUGCAUUCACAUGCUGAGAGAAUAAUAAAAUACAGGGCCGGGAUUUAGCUCAGUGGUCAUGCCUGCCUUGCAAGCACAAGGUCCCCAGUUCGAUCCCCGGUACCCAAAGAAACCAACAACAUACCUGCAUUUAUACACAGGUGCCUGAGCAACCAGGCACAAAUGUACAGCUGCCCCUGAAGUGUGUUUCCCUGCAAUUCAGCCUGUCCACUGCGGCCCCUCUGCACCUGGCUGGAGCCCAGAGGAGGACCUGGGCCUGCGACACCCUGCUCAUGCUCCGCCUGUCCUGCUCCCUCCAGGUCAGGGGUUUGCCGAGUCCUUCCCUUCCCUGCCCUGACCCCUGCCCUGACAAAGCCCUCCCGACGGAUGCAGGUGCCGGUAGAUAAAGGACAGGGACUGACGAUGUCUUACUGCAUCUGUGCACAUUUUAGUCAGUUCACCAAGCACCUCCCAGGCCGCAGGGCCCAGCGGGGCUGCGCUCCUGCCUGGCCCUACUGGUCCCAGUCCUUGACGAUGCUCAGGACGCCCCGCUCAGGGGCGGGGCCUGCCAGCCUGGCCAGCACGUCCAGCCCUCCGUGCUCCUUCUCCCUGGAGGACACAAAGUGGGCAGCUCCUGCACCCGGACCCCGGGGCGCCCGCCCGUGUCCCCGUCCCUGUCCCCGUGGCCUGCGCAGCUCCCGGAUCUGUGCGGGCCAGGCCGAUUGGGACCGCAGGGCAGGAGCCCGGGCACCGCUUACCGGAGGACAACGUUGCAUGCCUGCGCGGUGGCCGCUGACCAAGGCCUGCUGGCCCCGCUCCCCAACAUCGUUCCCGCUCACGUCCAGGUGCCUCAGCUCCAGGUUGGUGCCCGGCACAGCCGGCCAGGGCAAGGCAGCCAGCAGAGGACAUGCAGGUGGCAGCUGGGGCACGCCAGGGCCUCGCACAGAGUGGCGGCGCCGUCAUCCCCGAGGGUCAUUGAGGCUGAGGUCCAGGCUUUGGAGGCGCGCUGCUCUCUCGAGAGCUGAGGCCACGUCCUGACAGCAAGCCGAGGUCAGAGCACACCUUCUCAGCCUGCAGAGGAGCCCGGGUCACUGAGCACCCAGACAGCCACAUUUGCUCCCCACUGCCCCCCUUGCAGAGCACUAAGUCAUUCCUAUUUCUCACUCUUCCCCAGGCUUUCUAGCUCUGGUGAAACAGAGAACUUGCUUUCCCUCACCAUGGCUUUCCUCCUUUUCGGACAUAUCCUGUGAAGUGCAUGGUGUAGUACGUGACCUUUGGGUGCUUGGUGUCUUCCACUUAGACUAUUCUCAAGGUUUCUCCAUGUCUUAGCAUGAACCAGCAUGUUCCUUUUUAUGGCUGCAUAGUAUUCCAGCGGCAAAGUUACGCACAUUUUCUUUGUUCCUUCAUUGGUUUUCAGACACAUGGGAUCUCGCCUCUUUACUCCUGUGAAUGCUGCAGGAAUAUGUGCAGGUUUUCGUGUGGAUGUAGGGCUUUAUUUUCUUGUGUUUGUGCCUAGCAGUGAGACCGAGGACUCAUGUGCUGACUCUGUCUUCCACCACUUGAGGAACAGCCAAGAACGUCUUCCUGAAGUGCCAGCACCUUCUCCUGCUUCUCCGGGGAAAGCUCAAAGUGUCAGUGCUUCCUCAGGGCUGCGCCUGGACAGAAGCCCGAGGCGCUGUGCACAAACCACUCACAGGACGUGAGGACCCUGCUGGGCUGACAGCCCGCUCCUGCAGGGGCUCCGCUCACCCAGCACCUCGGAUCGGCCCUUGGCACACAGGACAGAGAGGGAGAGAAAACAUGUGGGAGAGACACAAGGGAAUGCUCCAAGAAAGAAGGGAAUCCUGCCUCUCUGGGAGGCUGAGGCAGGAGGCUACCAAGUUUAAGCCCAGGCUACUUACCAAGCCCCCCGUCUCAGAAUCACUCAGAGUAGCUCAGUGCAAAGAUCCUGGGUUUAAUCCCCAGUGCCACAAAAUAAAUAAAAUAAAUAAAGGAACAUUUAAAAAAAGGAAAUUCCGUCAUUUGUCACAACAUGGUGAAACUGGGGGCCAUCGUAUUGAGCAAGCACAGCCCGGCACAAGGAGCUGAAAUCUCACAGCAGUCAGGAGAACAGUGGUCGCCAGAGGCCAGGAAGGGACAGGAGAGGAUGGGACUGGUGUCAAACAGUCAGACAGGAGGAAGGCAGCCUAGUGCUCCCAGCACAGAAAGGGAC